rnacentral:misc_RNA from 1 species
AAAAUGCGAUAAGUAAUGUGAAUUGCAGAAUUCAGUGAAUCAUCGAAUCUUUGAACGCACAUUGCGCCCGCCAGUAUUCUAGUGGGCAUGCCUGUUCGAGCGUCAUUUCAACCCUUAAGCUUUGCUUAGUAUUGGGAGACUGCCUAAUUAGCAGCUCCUCAAAGUCAGUGGCAGAGUCUAGGUGUGCUCUGAGCGUAGUAAUUCAUUAUCUCGCUUCUGUAAGCCGCCUAUGCGCUAGCCAUAAGCCUUAUAUUUUCUAAUGGUUGACCUCGGAUCAGGUAGGAAUACCCGCUGAACUUAAGC